rnacentral:hammerhead_ribozyme from 1 species
AUUCAGUUGACGAGUCUCAAAUAUGAUGAAACACGCGUCCUGAAC